rnacentral:lncRNA from 1 species
GUGGGGACCCCAAAAUGAUGACCCCAAAAUGGGGACCCCAAAAAUGGAGACCUCAAAUUGGGGAUCCCAAAUGGAGACCCCAAAAUGGGGACCCCAAAGAGGGACCCCAAAAGCCAGACCCCAAAAUCAGGACCCCAAAAUGGGGUCGUCCUCCAGGCACAGCAGAUCCAGAAGCUCUGGGGGGAGGGUGGCCCCAAAAAAUGGGGGUGAGGGGGAACCCCAAAAUACGGACCCCAAAUAGAGAACCCCAAAAAAGAGACCCCAUAUAGGGACCCCAAAAAGGGAAAACCCCAAAUAGGGACCCCAAAUAGGGAGACCCCAAAUAGGGACCCCAAAAAAGGUACCCCAAAAAAGGGGACCCUAAAAAAGGGGGACCCCAAAUAGGGACCCCAAAAAGGGAAAACCCCAAAUAGGGACCCCAAAUAGGAACACCCCAAUAGGGACCCCAAAAAGAACCCCAAAGAAGGGGAACCCCAAAUAGGAACUCCUCAAAUAGGGACCCCAAAAAAGGGGACCCCAAAUAAGGACCCCAAAAAAGGUACCCCAAAAAAGGGGACCCCAAAAAAGGGGGACCCUAAAUAGGGACCCCAAAAAGGGAAAACCCCAAAUAGGGAUCCCAAAUAGGGAGACCCCAGAUAGCGACCCCAAAUAGGGACCCCAAAUAGGGAAACCCCAAAUAGGGACCCCAAAAAAGGUACCCCAAAAAAGGGGAACCCAAAAAAGGGGGACCCCAAAUAGGGACCCCAAAAAGGGAAACCCCAAAUAAGGACCCCAAAAAAGGUACCCCAAAAAAGGGGACCCCAAAGAAGGGGGACCCCAAAUAGGGACCCCAAAAAGGGAAAACCCCAAAUAGGGACCCCAAAUAGGGAGACCCCAAAUAGCGACCCCAAAUAGGGACCCCAAAUAGGGAAACCCCAAAUAGGGACCCCAAAAAAGGUACCCCAAAAAAGGGGACCCCAAAAAAGGGGGACCCCAAAUAGGGACCCCAAAUAAUGAAACCCCAAAAAGGGACCCCAAAAAAGGAGGACCCCAAAUAGGGACCCCAAAUAGGGACCCCAAAUAGGGAAACCCCAAAUAGGGAAACCUGAAAUAGGGACCCCGAAAAAGGGGGACCCCGAAAAAGGGAAAACCCAAAUAGGGACCCCAAAAAAGGGACAACCCAAAAAAGGGGGACCCCAAAUAGUGACCCCAAUAGGGACCCCAAAAAGGGAAACCCCAAAUAGGGACCCCAAAUAGGGAGACCCCAAAUAGGGACCCCAAAAAUGGUGA